ACCUACUCUCUGCCAUGAAAUAAACUGACCAAGAGAAGCUUUGCCCUUGGGGAGUUCUGCAGCCAUCCUGUUCUGCCUGUGACAAGGCAAGCAACUUUAUUCCUUGGGUGGCCCUUAUAAAUGUGCUGUCACGUCCAGGCAGGAAUGGUAAAGCCAGCCGAGGAAGCUGACUGGCUUUAGCAAGAUGGCAGCUCCAGGGACAGCACAUCGGCCUGAGAGAAACAAGAGCCUGGCUGGGAAGACUGCCGUCCUAGGCACCAUUUUGGCCCAUGAGAGCACGGGCCACAUAGGAGGGAUAGUAAAAAGGGAAGCUGGAAGAGGCCCAAAUCCCUAAGGAUGUAACAGAAUACAGCCAUGUCCCCAUUCCUGGACUGCUUUCCUCUGGACUUAGAAGACGACACACACCCUCCCUCAGCCCCGUGUUCUGCUGGGGAGAAUAAUCACCUCAGAGUAACAGCGCUUCCCUUUCACAUCCAGAUUCCUAUGAAAUGAGAAAAUGGGAGUCUCAACAAACUGGCACAGAGCCUAGGCAUCACCCAGUUCAACCAAGGGAGUUCAGCAAUGAAGACGCAAUGAGGACAGACCUGAUUUCAUACGCUGGAGGAACGGAAGCAGUAUCUUUUUCUUCCUACCCUGAUGAACGUCAGAGUGUUGGGAAUGAAGUCACACUUCUCCGAUGGACUCUGAUCUGCUCCGCUCUUUUUCUUCCUGUAGAAAGGGCAGUCCAGACCCUUUACCUCUAAGUCUCAUCUUUUCUCUAUUAAAAAAAAUCUUUGUCCCAGGCAUUCCUUCCAUCUACCCUUCCUAACCAUAGCCCACAUUUCCAUGUCUUUGCACAAGCUUCCCCCCCGCUUGCCAUGCCCUUCCCCUCACUUCCCCUCACAGGCUAACUCUUCCUUGCACAGAUGCCACCAUCUGCAGGAAGCCUUCCCAGCUCUCAGGAGGUCCCUCUCUUGUGUUCUCUCCUAGCACCCUUGGCAAGUAUCAGGCUGUCCCCACAUGAGAGAAUAAGCUGCUUGACCAUCUCGACUCUCUGGUGACCAGCAAAGUGACCCAGCACACGAGAAACACCAGACCUCCAUAGACACAGACUGAACGGCUUUCUGAGUUCCUUGUGGUCCACCCCUCCCCCCCGUCACACCCCAGCCACACGCUCCACCUGCCAGAAGCACCCCUCCCUCUGGAGACCCACACGUUCUCCGCUUUCAACCUGCUGCUACAGCACCCUGCGCUGAAGGGGCCUCAGAACACAAGCCCAGCCCAGCAAAGCCCAAAGGGACAUGGUGUGCUCAAGUUAUUCAUUACUCAAGUUAGAGGAGGUCACAGAGCAGGAAGCACACUGGAAAGCAAGGUGAAAGGUGGCAUGGAGGGUGGGGGAUUAGUCAGGGUGACCUUCUAAGGGAAUUCAGAGCCUGGCAGGAGGGCGUAUCAGAGUGGGAAGG